rnacentral:rRNA from 1 species
GACUGAGUGGCGGACGGGUGAGUAACGCGUGGGUAACCUGCCCUGUACAGGGGGGAUAACAGUUGGAAACGGCUGCUAAUACCGCAUAAGCGCACGAGAGGACAUCCUCUUGUGUGAAAGACUCCGGUGGUACAGGAUGGGCCCGCGUCUGAUUAGCUGGUUGGCAGGGUAACGGCCUACCAAGGCGACGAUCAGUAGCCGGUCUGAGAGGAUGAACGGCCACAUUGGAACUGAGACACGGUCCAAACUCCUACGGGAGGCAGCAGUGGGGAAUAUUGCACAAUGGGGGAAACCCUGAUGCAGCAACGCCGCGUGAGUGAAGAAGUAUUUCGGUAUGUAAAGCUCUAUCAGCAGGGAAGAUAAUGACGGUACCUGACUAAGAAGCUCCGGCUAAAUACGUGCCAGCAGCCGCGGUAAUACGUAUGGAGCAAGCGUUAUCCGGAUUUACUGGGUGUAAAGGGUGCGUAGGUGGCAGUGCAAGUCAGAUGUGAAAGGCCGGGGCUCAACCCCGGAGCUGCAUUUGAAACUGCAUAGCUGGAGUACAGGAGAGGCAGGCGGAAUUCCUAGUGUAGCGGUGAAAUGCGUA